rnacentral:rRNA from 1 species
UACGAAGGGGGCUAGCGUUGUUCGGAUUUACUGGGCGUAAAGCGCACGUAGGCGGUUUGUUAAGUCAGGGGUGAAAUCCCAGAGCUCAACUCUGGAACUGCCUUUGAUACUGGCAAGCUAGAGUCCGGAAGAGGUAAGUGGAACUCCUAGUGUAGAGGUGGAAUUCGUAGAUAUUAGGAAGAACACCGGUGGCGAAGGCGGCCCACUGGAUCGGUACUGACGCUGAGGUGCGAAAGCGUGGGGAGCAAACAGG